rnacentral:rRNA from 1 species
CCCUUAGAUGUUCUGGGCCGCACGCGCGCUACACUGUUCGACGCAGCGAGUCUUAACCUUGACCGAAAGGUUUGGGUAAUCUUCAGCAAAGUCGAACGUGAUGGGGAUCGAUCAUUGCAAUUAUUGAUCGUGAACGAGGAAUUCCUAGUAAGUGCAAGUCAUCAGCUUGCGCUGAUUACGUCCCUGCCCUUUGUACACACCGCCCGUCGCUCCUACCGAUUGAAUGAUCCGAUGAAUACCAUGGAUUGAGAGUACGAAUAGGUUCGCUUAUUUCUGCUGCUCGAGAAGUGGAGUAAAUCUUAUCAUUUAGAGGAAGGAGAAGUCGUAACA